AUCCAGAGGACGAAUCCCAAAUAGGACGAAAUGCGCAUUUUGGAU
rnacentral:hammerhead_ribozyme from 1 species